UUUCUAAAUACAAAAGCGCCAGUUCGAUCCCUUCUUUUUCACUUCUCUUUUUGAGAAUAUCUCUCCACCCUAAUUUCAUCUUAGAAACCCUAACACCAACCCACCAUCACCGCUCCACCAUCCAUCUCUUGCACCACCAUAUCCGGCCACCUAUCCACACUCCUUUAACCCUUUCCUCACAACACUUUCGCCAAAAACCCCACUUCCCAACUGAGACCGUCAUCAUCUCCGGUCUUGCCCGUUUGUAGUCGUCGGAAAACUAGCUGAGGUUGGAACCCUUUCUUCACCGCGAGUAACUCCACCACCGUCGGUGGCUGAUCUGGUCUAAAUUCACACACCCCCCGUCGACCUGAAGCAGGGAUUUGUAAAUUACUACCGAGUCUCGUCUUGGCAUAAAGUUUAACCUUGGACCGAUCACCAAUGUGCUAUCAACCACAACCCGAGUCACUGGAACCCUUCUUUAAGCUGAUAGAGGUGUCAGGUAUACAACAUAGUAUACCUGAAUAUAACAUAAUAAUAGAUUUGUACAGACAUAGUAUACCUGAUAGAGGUGUCAGGUAUACAACAUAGUAUACCUGAAUACAACAUAAUAAUAGAUUUGUAGAGACAUAGUAUACCUGAUAGAGGUGUCAGGUAUACAACAUAGUAUACCUGAAUACAACAUUGGGUUGUGACGAGACUCUGGUUAACUUCAGCAAGAAUUCCGGUAAGCCUCGAUUCAGUUGCAUGUUUCUUUUUCAGUUAGAUCAGUAUAUGUUGUGUCCGUCCAAGCUAUUUUCGGUAUUACGGUGAUGAUUCUAAUGACUAACUAACUACACAAAGGCAUAUUUAUGUUUUAAGCUUGAACGUCUGUUGGUAGAGAUAACACAUCUAUGUUAUAUAUCAUAAGAUGAUUAUUUUUGUUUUCAAUUGUAGAACAAUGGCUACCAUUUAAGAUUUCCUUCCACAACUAUAGGCUUAACUUUUGAGCUUUUGAGGAUAAGCAUAAGUAAAUUUUCUAUUAGUUUAUUAAUAAGAGGAAUCCAUAGAUUUAUGAUUAUAUAAGAUUGAAAUAAAAUAUUUUUGGUGCUUUAGCUGUUUGGAACCACCUUCGCUGACCAUGGAUAUUUACUUUACACAUUCUAACAGAGACAUAGUAUACCUGAAUACAACAUAAUAAUAGAUUUUUUGAGGUGUCAGGUAUUUUGUUUAUUUGCUGGUGGAUAAUGGCAGUUUUAGCACACAUACGCUAAUUACUGUCUUAGAUGUUAACAUAUGUGAACUGUGCUACCGAUAAACUAACACCUAUAAAUAACAUAUGGCCGUAACGAAGACAUAGAGGCAACAUUAUGAGGGGAAAUCGCAACUAUUCGCAAGGUCACCAAACGGGUCAACAGGCCAGAGGUGGAGAUCUUAACAAGGCGAAUCAUCAUAUAAUAUACACGCGCCCUCCAAACGAAAUAUUUGAACACUUCGUUAAAACUAACUAUACAGGUUGUCCAAGAAAUAUAUAGCAUGUGCAAAUCUCCCUCUUGACGUCUAUUUGAUUAUAGCUGCUGUUGUAGUUCUGUGGCGUCACCAUUAGCCGACGGUGGAGGUAAAUAGACCUGCAUCCCUUGCUAUCCACUAUUGUGACUCGGCUAGCCACCAGAUCAACAUUACUUGCCACUGCUGCAGCUGCUUAAACUCUGCCUUUUGAGCUUUGGGUGAUAUUUGCUUUUGUUAUACACAUUAUAACAUAGGGGGAAUAUAAUGGUGUGUAUGGUUCGCUUUGCACUAAAGGUUAUUUAUGACAUAUUUUGUUACCACAUCCUGAAGUUUCAAUUGGGUUUUGCGCGCCGCAACGCGCGCGGACGAAAAACCUAGUUGUGUUAAUAAAGACUUCAUUGUCCACCCACUUAUGGUUACUUUAUAUGGUCGAAAGCUCUUAAGGACUUUUAUCAUCAUGUUCAAGUGUCCUUCAACUGACACAUGUCCGGAGAGUUUUGAAGCGUCCAAAGGACGCAUCAGCGCCGCAAUGUGGACGCGUCACAGAUGACUUGCGACGGGCUUGAGUGGAUGCGGUUUGUUAGGAUCCGAAUUUGAAUUGUUUUUUAAUGUUUUAGAUGAAUGAUGUAACAAGAUAACAAAAAUGGAAAUAAUGCAGUGGAAUGAUAAUAAACUUUAAAUCAGAAACAAUGGAAGAUUUGCUUUCAUCAUGAUACUUUAACAGAAAGAU